rnacentral:rRNA from 1 species
GAUGAACGCUGGCGGCGUGCUUAACACAUGCAAGUCGAACGAAGCACUUUAUUAUGAUUUCUUCGGAAUGACGAUUUAGUGACUGAGUGGCGGACGGGUGAGUAACGCGUGGGUAACCUGCCUUAUACAGGGGGAUAACAGUUAGAAAUGACUGCUAAUACCGCAUAAGCGCACAGGAUUGCAUGAUCUAGUGUGAAAAACUCCGGUGGUAUAAGAUGGACCCGCGUCUGAUUAGCUGGUUGGUGAGGUAACGGCUUACCAAGGCGACGAUCAGUAGCCGACCUGAGAGGGUGACCGGCCACAUUGGGACUGAGACACGGCCCAAACUCCUACGGGAGGCAGCAGUGGGGAAUAUUGCACAAUGGGGGAAACCCUGAUGCAGCGACGCCGCGUGAGUGAAGAGUAUUCGGUAUGUAAAGCUCUAUCAGCAGGGAAGAAAGUGACGGUACCUGAAUAAGAAGCCCCGGCUAACUACGUGCCAGCAGCCG